AUGACAAUGACCGUUUCACAAUGGAUUUUAUAGCCUGCCCUACAUCACAUUAUUAUAUUUUUCGUUACCAACUUAUUUCAUUGCUCACUCAAUUUAUUAUCUUUGUUUUAGUUAGUAACUUCAAGCAUUAUUAUCUGUGAAAAAAAUUCAUAUGCUGGCUUCAUUUUUUUUUAAAUCUUUUUAUACUUUAGUAUUUUCUACAAUUGUUGUUAAUUCUUG
rnacentral:misc_RNA from 1 species